rnacentral:rRNA from 1 species
CACACGACUCUCGGCAACGGAUAUCUCGGCUCUCGCAUCGAUGAAGAACGUAGCGAAAUGCGAUACCUGGUGUGAAUUUCAGAAUCCCGCGAACCAUCGAGUCUUUGAACGCAAGUUGCGCCCGAGGCCACUCGGCCGAGGGCACGCCUGCCUGGGCGUCACGC